GGCUCUGUGGUGAAAUUCAUGUUGAGUUGCAAGCUCAUCGAUGUACGCUGAGAGUGUACCAGAGUCU
rnacentral:tRNA from 1 species